rnacentral:rRNA from 1 species
GACGAACGCUGGCGGCGUGCUUAACACAUGCAAGUCGAACGGAAAGGCCUGCUUUCCCUUGUGGAUUGCGGGUACUCGAGUGGCGAACGGGUGAGUAACACGUGAGUGAUCUGCCCCCAACUUGGGUAUAAGCCUGGGAAACUGGGUCUAAUUCCCGAUAGGACUGCAUGGUGGUGCCUGUGGUGGAAAACGAUUUUCUAGUGGUUGGGGAUGAGCUCGCGGCCUAUCAGCUUGUUGGUGGGGUAAUGGCCUACCAAGGCGGCGACGGGUAGCCGGCCUGAGAGGGUGGACGGCCACAUUGGGACUGAGAUCCGGCCCAGACUCCUACGGGAGGCAGCAGUGGGGAAUAUUGCACAAUGGGCGGAAGCCUGAUGCAGCGACGCCGCGUGGGGGAUGACGGCCUUCGGGUUGUAAACUCCUUUCGACCGCGAGGAAGCCACCUGGUUGGAAGGGUGGUGACGGUAGUGGUAGAAGAAGCACCGGCUAACUACGUG